rnacentral:lncRNA from 1 species
GUGUUUGUGUUUGUGGACAAAUUUGUGGGGACGUCUCUGUUGAGCAAAUGUGUGCAUAGUGCGUCUAGUGUGUCUUUGUGAGAGAAAGGGAGAGUGAGAGGAGGGGGGAGAGAGGGAGAGAUAGAGAGAGAGAGAGAGAGAGAGAGAGAGGGAGAGAGAGAGAGGGAGGGAGAGAGAGAGAGAGGGAUAGCGGACAUGUGUUGGUGAGAGCUGGGAGGAAGGAUGGCUGCCCAUGUUUGAACUGCCUCAGAUGCUCAGAGGAAGAGUCAAGGCAAGAAUUCAGCAGAGGCAGCGGAACAGACGCCUCACUGGGGGACGAAGCUUGCUCAUCAUUUGUGGGGAAGCAGAAAAUAUUUGGCAAUGCCUGCUGAAGUGAAAGAGAGUUCAGAGGGUCCUCCUCCACUCUCUCUGGCCCAGGAGGCCAAAGAGCCCACUCUGGAUCACCCGUCCACCAAUGAUGAACUGGACACGCCCACCUCCAUCGCCUCUCUGAUGACCACAACCAAUGAGAGCUCCACGGAGACCGACACCCCACAGCAAACAGACACUGAGGAGUCCAAGGCUGCGGAACAAGAGGGUGAACCGGCCCUGAGCGAGACCCAAAAAUCUUUGGAGACACAACUGGAGAACUUCCAGACAUCAGACCCGCCUGAUCUCACAUCAACUCCAGUGUUUAAAGACAACACUCCCGCUAAGAAACCCAUUCCCGAAGCAAACCCUGAACCCAACAAGCCUGGCACGCCGAUCACAACGCCGGCAGCACUUCCACGGCAACCCCACAACCUCAGGCUGUACUGCAGCAUGGGGAGGCUCAGCCAGUGAACCCAGCCUGCCAGAGCAGAGUGUACACGCUGCCCGACAGUUACAGAGGCAUUGGGGGUGACUUAUGCGCGGGGUAUGGAAGCCUAUCCCGCGCCACCCUCCACAGCUACUGGCCAGCCAAAAACUUCCAGGCUGGGGCUCACUACACCUUACCCUUCCUCAGGGACAGCUACGCUCCUGCAGGACUCAGCAGCCAGACGGAGGAGGAGGGCCAGGGCGAACGGGGAGGGAACCCUCUGGACAUGAAGACGGACCACCCGACUGCCAGUUACCCAACACUGGGCGGCAUCCACCCGUUCAGACCAAUUACCACCAUGGAGCUUCUCAGAGAGCCCUCGAGAACCAGGUAAGGGGGUGGAACAUUGGAUCAAACUUUAUUGAUCCCACAGAGGGAAACUGUGAAAAAAGGCUUUCAAGGACUCUUGUGGUUUCUAGAUGUAGAAUCAAAUAGAGAUCACUCCC